AGCAGGCUCCUGGGAAAGGAUCGGCAAAGACCUCCUCCACCCCCAGCGCCCAAGCGCCUGCAGGUGCCUCCCUUGUUGGUAGUUUGUUACUCAGGUAGUAAACUGCAGCAUAAUGAACAGAGCAAAGAGGAAGUGCCUGGGAGAGCUGCGCUGAAGCCUAGCACCUGCCUUUUCUCACCCGCCAGCAAGUUACACUUAGUGAACUGGAUUUUCCUGAACUGUUCAAGCAAUGGUAA